AUUGAACGCUGGCGGCAGGCUUAACACAUGCAAGUCGAGCGGGGUGAUGGUGCUUGCGCUAUCACUUAGCGGCGGACGGGUGAGUAACGCUUAGGAAUCUGCCUAUUAGUGGGGGACAACAUCUCGAAAGGGAUGCUAAUACCGCAUACGUCCUACGGGAGAAAGCAGGGGAUCACUUGUGACCUUGCGCUAAUAGAUGAGCCUAAGUCGGAUUAGCUAGUUGGUGGGGUAAAGGACUACCAAGGCGACGAUCUGUAGCGGGUCUGAGAGGAUGAUCCGCCACACUGGGACUGAGACACGGCCCAGACUCCUACGGGAGGCAGCAGUGGGGAAUAUUGGACAAUGGGGGGAACCCUGAUCCAGCCAUGCCGCGUGUGUGAAGAAGGCCUUAUGGUUGUAAAGCACUUUAAGCGAGGAGGAGGCUCUUUUGGUUAAUACCCAAGAUGAGUGGACGUUACUCGCAGAAUAAGCACCGGCUAACUCUGUGCCAGCCGCCGCCGUAA
rnacentral:rRNA from 1 species